UAAGGGAUAUUGCGACAAUGGGCGAAAGCCUGACGCAGCAACGCCGCGUGCGGGAGGAAGGCCUUCGGGUUGUAAACCGCUUUUGAGGGGGAAGAGGAAGGACGGUACCCUUCGAAUAAGUCUCGGCUAACUACGUGCCAGCGGCCGCGGUAAAACGUAGGAGGCGAGCGUUAUCCGGAUUUACUGGGUGUAAAGCGCGUGCAGGCGGUGGGACAAGUUAACUGUGAAAGCGCCCGGCUCAACCGGGCGAGGACAGUUAAGACUGUUCGACUGGAGGCAGGUAGAGGGAUGUGGAAUUCCGGGUGUAGUGGUGAAAUACGUAGAGAUCCGGAGGAACACCAGUGGCGAAGGCGACACACUGGGCCUGGCCUGACGCUCAGGGGCGAAAGCAUGGGGAGCGAACGG
rnacentral:rRNA from 1 species